AAAAUAGUUUAUUAAAACAUUAAAUUGCAAGUUUAAAGACAAUUUUGAAAUCAAUUUAUGAUG
rnacentral:tRNA from 1 species